UACGUAGGGGGCAAGCGUUGUCCGGAUUUACUGGGCGUAAAGAGCGUGUAGGCGGCCAAGCAGGUCCGUUGUGAAAACUCGAGGCUCAACCUCGAGACGUCGACGGAAACCGUCUGGCUAGAGUCCGGAAGAGGAGUGUGGAAUUCCUGGUGUAGCGGUGAAAUGCGCAGAUAUCAGGAAGAACACCUAUGGCGAAGGCAGCACUCUGGGACGGUACUGACGCUGAGACGCGAAAGCGUGGGGAGCGAACAGG
rnacentral:rRNA from 1 species